rnacentral:rRNA from 1 species
UACGUAGGCAGCGAGCGUUGUUCGGAGUUACUGGGCGUAAAGCGUGCGUAGGCGGUGUCUUAAGUUUGUUGUGAAAUCUCCCGGCUUAACCGGGAGGGUGCGGCGGAAUACUGAGAUGCUGGAGUGCCGGAGAGGUAAGCGGAAUUCCGGUGUAGCGGUGAAAUGCGUAGAGUAUACAGGGAGGAACACCUGCGGUGUGAGACGGCUUACUGGGACGGUAACUGACGCUGAGGCACGGAAAGCGUGGGUAGCAAACAGGA